AACGUAGGAGACAAACGUUAUCCGGAGUUACUGGGCGUAAAGGGCGUGUAGGUGGUUUCGUAAGUCUGGCGUGAAAUUUUUCGGCUUAACCGGGAAAGGUCGUCGGAUACUGCGGAGCUAGAGGACGGUAGAGGCGUGUGGAAUUCCGGGUGUAGUGGUGAAAUGCGUAGAGAUCCGGAGGAACACCAGUGGCGAAGGCGGCGAUCUGGGAAGAUACUGACGCUGAGGUGCGAAAGCGUGGGGAGCAAACAGG
rnacentral:rRNA from 1 species